CGUGCGCCCGCCGGUGGACUCGGCGCCCCCGGCGCGGGCGUUUCAUGCGACACUCCAGGAUGGGGGCUGCAGGGACGCACAGAACUGACGCCCUAGCUCCGUGGAGCCUCUGUGAAUAAGACAAGUCAGCGCUAAAAAUACAGUGGACAACCCGGAGGGACAUAAGCCAGGGAUCUGCAAUCCAGGGGGGUCCAGAGUGGUCCCAGAGACCCCCCUGGAGGAGGUGGGCGGGACCCUGGAUGUUUUGCUCCAGCUGUAAGGCCUGGCAAGCAGAGGGCCCUCGGGAAAUGUUUGUUGACUGAAUGCACGACGGAAUGGAGCCCAUGUGAAGGCGCAGACUCAGGGAGAAGGCCGUGUGACAACAAGUGGCGGAGAAUGAAGAGAUGUAUGCACAGGCCAAGGAGCGCCAUGAUCCCAGGAAGCACCAGAAGUCACGAGAAAGGCACGUGUGGAAUAGAUUCUCCCUUCUUCGUGCACUCGGAGGGAGUACAAGUCCUGCUGCCACCUUGAGUCUGGACCUCUGGCUCCAGAACCACGAGAGAAUAGCCUUCUAUUGUCCUCAGCCACCCAGCGUGUGCUCCUUUGCUGCGGCAGCCCUGGGAGACUAACGCGAUUGGAGAGAGGAGGAGGACAGAGCCCUGAGCAGGUGGAAUCACACAGUUUGUCACGCUCGGGUCUCAGAACCGUCUUCAGAGCCACGCGGGUGUCCUGGGACUCCUGGGUGUCAUUCCAGGCCCCAGGCCUGAGAAGCUGCCCUGUGCCUCCCUGGGCUUCAGCUGCUCAGCCGGGAAAGGUGGGGAUCCAAGAAAGGAUUCUUCUGCUUAAAACACCACCAGUUUAUGUCCAUUGCCGUCCUCACUGCCCAACCCCUACUGGGAACAGAACCGGCAGCCGCCUUCCCCUGCGCCCCUCCCAGGUGUCUCCGGAGCCUGGGCUCUUUCCCACAGCGACAGCCAGGCUAGGACCUCACCAUCCCCACCUGCGUCUCGGAGGCACCAUCUGGAUGCAGCCCGAGGACUGACUCAGAUCUAUCUUUAGUUUUCUGUCCAUCCCGGAACACCCGGCGUUUGGGUCAGUGGCCGCUGAGCUAGAUGCUCCCAGAGCCUGGGACUCAGGCUGCAUCCAGGCCUCUCUUCUAGCAUCCCUCAGAAGCCCGUGUCCCUGCCCCAUGCCGUCCUACACCUGCAUUUGCCUCUCUAUGGACUGGCAGUCUCCCCACUAGAGGUCACCUCCAAGAGGCUGCUGGCUGCUUUGUUCACUGCCACGUACCCAGGGCCCGGCACAUGGAAAGCACAUGAUAAAUGUGUGCUGAGGAGGGCGCCCGGCUGGCUCAGUCGGUUGAGCGUCUGACUCUUGAUUUCAGAUCAGGUCAUGAUCUCAGGGUUCAUGAGUUCGAGCCCCGCGUCAGGCUCUGCCCUGAUCGCCCGGAGCCUGCUCAUUCGUCAUUCGUUGUCUCUCUCUCUCUCUCUCUCUCUCUCUCUCUCUCAAGUAAAUAAACUUUAAAAAAAAAUCCUUUAAUACAUGUAUGCCGACUGAGUGAGCAAACACACAAAUGAAUGAAGACUGGGAUUGGAGGUGUUGGCGGGGGGGAACCCCAAAGCCUGUCUAUUCUAAUGGAGACCCAAGCAACUCAGGCUUUCUGCGGAUCCAAGCCAAGGUUGCCCCUUGUCUCCAUGCCAGGCUGCAAGGUAGAAGCGUGCGGGCCACCUGCACCCACCCCACCCCCAACCAGAGGCCUGAGGAACCCUGAAAGAAAACA